rfam:Gordonia sputi NBRC 100414 DNA, contig: GOSPT059.
CCGGUACCGGUUCACACCGCCGAAUCGCGGCGGUGACCCGGCGACC